UUUCCCAUGUACAUCGGAUCAGCUAUUCCCAGAGCCUCACCAUUAUAAAGGGAAUUUCUGCAAAUCCAACAGAUCAGCUUUUGCCAGAGUGUUCAUUCUCUCCAAAGUCACACUUGAUGGAAGCGUUAUUGGAAAGUCUGGUA